rnacentral:rRNA from 1 species
UACGAAGGGGGCUAGCGUUGCUCGGAAUCACUGGGCGUAAAGGGUGCGUAGGCGGGUUUUUAAGUCAGAGGUGAAAUCCUGGAGCUCAACUCCAGAACUGCCUUUGAUACUGAAGAUCUUGAGUUCGGGAGAGGUGAGUGGAACUGCGAGUGUAGAGGUGAAAUUCGUAGAUAUUCGGAAGAACACCAGUGGCGAAGGCGGCUCACUGGACUGGUAUUGACGCUGAGGUGCGAAAGCGUGGGGAGCAAACA